rnacentral:rRNA from 1 species
UACGUAGGGGGCAAGCGUUAUCCGGAAUUACUGGGUGUAAAGGGAGCGUAGACGGUAAUGUAAGUCUGGAGUGAAAGGCGGGGGCCCAACCCCCGGACUGCUCUGGAAACUAUGUUACUAGAGUGCAGGAGAGGUAAGCGGAAUUCCCGGUGUAGCGGUGGAAUGCGCAGAUAUCGGGAAGAACACCGAUGGCGAAGGCAGCUCUCUGGGCCGUCACUGACGCUGAGGCGCGAAAGCUGGGGGAGCGAACAGG